rnacentral:rRNA from 1 species
GACAGAGGGUGCAAACGUUGUUCGGAUUUACUGGGCGUAAAGCGCGUGUAGGCGGCUUGGCAAGUCGGAUGUGAAAGCCCACGGCUCAACCGUGGAAGCGCAUCCGAAACUGCUUCGCUUGAGUCUCGGAGAGGAAGGUGGAAUGCUUGGUGUAGAGGUGAAAUUCGUAGAUAUUGGGAAGAACACCGAUGGCGAAGGCAGCCAUCUGGACCGACACUGACGCUGAGGCGCGAAAGCGUGGGGAGCAAACAGG